ensembl:lncRNA
GAAGGAGGCGGCAAAAGGAAAAAGGGAGAUCAGGAAGCAGCAGGGUCCGCUGGCAGAGCCUCUACGGGGAGGGGAGAAAGGAAGCAAGAAGGGUGGGAAAGCGAAGAAACAGGCCGGCAGGCGGACCACCCUGAGGCGCCAGGAGUGGAACAAAAGCGACCUUUCUUCUUUCCUCACUUCAGCUUCGCGGCUGGUUCUUCACACCAUCAGGCCCCUCAUCCAAAAGUCUACCUGGAGGCGGAAUAGCAGCCGCCACGGCCGGGCCCUUCCCUUCCUUGAGCCAGGCCGGAGUCCGUGCUUCAGCUUCCCCCUCACCCCCUUCCCUUCUUUUCUCCCUCUCUCCGCCCUUACUUUGCCCUGCCGCGGCCUGCACNAGCCCUUCGAGGGACGCUUCCGAUUCCCGGGGUCUGCCGAGGUCCGGCCGACGCUACGGUCCGCGCUUUCCCCCUUCUCCCUCCGUUGGGCCGUUCUUACCUGAGCGCGCCAGGCCUGCCUGGCUGCCUGGGCCUCUCCUGAGGAACUAACGGCGGGAGCGCGGCCAAAAGCGCUGCAGCCGAGUCCGGAGGAGGAAGAAGAAGCCGCACUCCGGGGCCUGCCGGGAUCUUUUCUGUCUCCUCACUCUCAGCCGCUUCUGGCCCUCCCUCUCUUGGCCUAGCCGAAGAAAGGAAAGCGGGGAGUGAGUGGGGGAGGAACCAGUCGAGUUACCUCAGAAACAGAGACGGAAGGGGGAGAGAACGGGUUAAAAAACCCGAGAGAAGCGGGCACGAGUCUCCGUUGCUUUAAGUGCUCCCGGCCGCCGCCGCCAUCACGCUGCCGCAGCCGCUUACUAGUACUGCCUCUUUCUUUCCCCCCUCCCCUCGUCCGAUGGAAACCCCUGGCGUGAUGUCAGCCCUGGGACAGAGCGGGAAGGGGAGGGAGGAGUCAGGAGAAAGGAAUAAAGCGAGCGAGGAAGCGGCCGGGUCGGCCUUGUGUGUGCUUUCUUCUGCUGCAGCAGGCAACCAGGGUGGCGAGCGCGCGACGAGGUGGAGGCGGCGGCGAAAUGACGAGCCAGGUGAAAACAAAGCCUUUCUAUCUGCCUGGGGGAGCUCUUUAAGUAUAUUUUUGCCUUCAUUCACUGAGAUUAUGUCAUUCACUGGAGAUUUAAUUGAUUUUUCCAACAAUAAUUUCCUUCCGCACUUUGUAACCUUCUGUCAUAUCUGA